rnacentral:rRNA from 1 species
AGUGAACGCUGGCGGUAGGCCUAACACAUGCCAGUCGAACGGCAGCACAGUAAGAGCUUGCUCUUACGGGUGGCGAGUGGCGGACGGGUGAGGAAUACAUCGGAAUCUACUUUUUCGUGGGGGAUAACGUAGGGAAACUUACGCUAAUACCGCAUACGACCUACGGGUGAAAGCAGGGGAUCUUCGGACCUUGCGCGAUUGAAUGAGCCGAUGUCGGAUUAGCUAGUUGGCGGGGUAAAGGCCCACCAAGGCGACGAUCCGUAGCUGGUCUGAGAGGAUGAUCAGCCACACUGGAACUGAGACACGGUCCAGACUCCUACGGGAGGCAGCAGUGGGGAAUAUUGGACAAUGGGCGCAAGCCUGAUCAAGCCAUACCGCGUGGGUGAAGAAGGCCUUCGGGUUGUAAAGCCCUUUUGUUGGGAAAGAAAAGCAGCAGGUUAAUACCCCGCUGUUCUGACGGUACCCAAAGAAUAAGCACCGGCUAACUUCGUG